GGGCGAAGUUGAGACGCUUCCGGAGCCCGUGGAGCUUCAGAAACCGUCCACCAUGGCCACCGCCGGCAUCGCUACUUCACGCCCUUUGACUCUGUUGCUAUUUUUAAUCAUCAACUUACUUUCCAACACCAUCACCGGCGGCGGCGGCGGCGGAGGAAGAGUUUAUGCUGAUAACGGUGUGUUCAGCGUCAGAUACAAGUAUGCUGGACGGGAACGUUGUCUUAGUACCCUUAAGGCGCACGACAUCAGCCGUCAGCUUCGAUUUCUUGCCGGCGUCGAUAUCCCUCUCGGUGGCUCUGGC
rnacentral:misc_RNA from 1 species